AAGUCGUAACAAGGUUUCCGUAGGUGAACCUGCGGAAGGAUCAUUAACACGUUUCCAAACGUUUGAUUUUUGAAUCAUCCACACCCAACCGUUGCACACCCAUGGGCAUGCAUCCUUCGGGACGUACGCCUUGGGAUCACUCGGCAUGCACUGGCAACAGUGUAUGUUUUCAACCCAAUCCCCUUUUUUUCACCCCUUUUUUUUGACUCACCCUACCAACCCCUAGUGGCCUGAUCAACUGUGUCGUCUCGUAUAUGACAGUAGAAUUGAUUUUCUAUUGUGAUACACUCUGAUGACCGAACCAUAUGGAUGUUUCCAAAUGAGUUAUGAAAUACAACUCUUAGCAAUGGAUAUCUUGGUUCUC
rnacentral:misc_RNA from 1 species